rnacentral:rRNA from 1 species
UUUUCCUACGGGACGCAGCAGUGAGGAAUAUUGGUCAAUGGGAGAGAUCCUGAACCAGCCAAGCCGCGUGAGGGAAGACUGCCCUAUGGGUUGUAAACCUCUUUUGUCAGGGAGCAAUUGGCGCUACGUGUAGCGUUAUCGAGAGUACCUGAAGAAAAAGCAUCGGCUAACUCCGUGCCAGCAGCCGCGGUAAUACGGAGGAUGCGAGCGUUAUCCGGAUUUAUUGGGUUUAAAGGGUGCGUAGGCGGAAUGCCAAGUCAGCGGUAAAAUCGCGGGGCUCAACCUCGCUCCGCCGUUGAAACUGG